rnacentral:rRNA from 1 species
GAUGAACGCUGGCGGCGUGCCUAACACAUGCAAGUUGAGCGAUUUACUUCGGUAAAGAGCGGCGGACGGGUGAGUAACGCGUGGGUAACCUACCCUGUACACACGGAUAACAUACCGAAAGGUAUGCUAAUACGGGAUAACAUAUUUGAGAGGCAUCUCUUAAAUAUCAAAGGUGAGCCAGUACAGGAUGGACCCGCGUCUGAUUAGCUAGUUGGUGGGGUAACGGCCCACCAAAGCGACGAUCAGUAGCCGGCCUGAGAGGGCGACCGGCCACAUUGGGACUGAGACACGGCCCAG